AAUAUUGCGCAAUGGAGGGAACUCUGACGCAGCGACGCCGCGUGAGCGAUGAAGGUCUUCGGAUCGUAACGCUCUUUCCUUGGGGAAGCAGGUCUUCGGACUUGACGGUUCCCAAGUAGGAAACCCCGGCUAACUACGUGCCAGCAGCCGCGGUAAUACGUAGGGGGCAAGCGUUUUACGGAAUUAUUGGGCGUAAAGGGGGCGUAGGCGGCCUUUUAAGUCAGAUGUGAAAGCCCACGGCUUAACCGUGGGACUGCAUUUGAAGCUGGAGGGCUUGAGUAUCGGAGAGGGUAGUGGAAUUCCCAGUGUAGCGGUGGAAUGCGUAGAUAUUGGGAGGAACACCAGUGGCGAAGGCGACUACCUGGACGAAAACUGACGCUGAGGCACGAAAGCUAGGGGAGCAAAC
rnacentral:rRNA from 1 species